rnacentral:miRNA from 2 species
CUAUACAACAUGCUAGCUUUCU